GGCUCCGCCCAUAAAGCACAACGUCACGAACGGGAGGGUUGUUGGUGGCAGAGUGCAUGAGAAGCGGGUUUAUCCAAGAGCGCACUUAGGCAACCAAAGCACUUUUUCGCAACAAGCACCAUAGCAGUGAGUGUCGUCAGUGUUGCAAUCUCGUGAUGUUGUUCUACUCGUGAUGUUGUUCUACUUGUGAUGUUGUUCUACUCGUGAUGUUGUUCUAAUUCGCAUUUCACUUGCCUUGUGGUGUAUGUGCCAACAUGGAGGUAUUAUUAAUUAUUAUCAUUAUUAAUAAUACCUCAAUGGUGCCACCGACAAAAUUCAAGUGCUCGUUAACACGCACUACCAGUAUACAUUAUAGAAUGUAUGGAGGGAGGUUAGGACCAGUGCGUAAGGUGUGUACAGAGGGAGUGGGUCUGAAAAAGGUGUGUACAGACUUUAUUGUCAGCCCACCAUGACUAACGAAUUACUGAAACACACUAAAAGUGCAUUGAAAUGGCAACACCGAACAGGUGGGUAAAUGCUUAACUCAUCAAGCCUAUGUAGAUAGUUCGUUUGGAUGGACCAUUUUUUAACUAAACUAUCAGUCCUUCGUAAAAGUCAAGGCAUCAGUAAAGAAUUGGACAUGAGACCAAUAUAGACAUUUCCCAAAUUACGGAGACAGAAAGAAGAGAGUACAGCAGAUAUUAGUGUGAUAUGAAUAAAGACCAGUAAAUGACUGAUUUCACUGAAAACUUGACUUUUAACUGGCCAGUCUGUACAAAACUCACAAAGGCAUUAACUAGACUUUAUUCACAUUAACUAAUGUCCAUCCAUUUUUUUUCACCAGUCAGUUCAUUGUCUUCUUUAAAGGUUACACUACUUCCAGAAAGUCCCAACGCCUUGACUCUCGACGAUGUCGACAAUCAUGAAUCUAGCGUCUGGCAGGUGGCCGCAGAGCCCGUGAAGCAUGGACUUGUCCUAUUAGGCAUGGCGUCUGACCCUCACUCGCAGCUAUCAAUGACACUGAUUCUGGAGAGGAAGCCCUUGUUCUUCAUCUUUAACCUCAUCUACCCUGCGGUGGUCAUCAUGGCAGUGUCAAUCCUCAGUCUACUCUUACCAAACAAGUCAGGUGAGAAGAUGGUAUUUAGUGUUUCCAUUCUGGUGGCGAUGAACUUCUUUCAGCAGAACCUUCUCAAGAUAUCAUUUCCAACAGAAGAGGGAAUUCCAUUACUUGGGCAAUUCAUUGGUACUGGACUGGCCAUGGCUGCAAUAGCAGUGGCGUGUGGUGUGCUUACUCUAAGGCUGCAUUACAAGGGAUCACGCGAACCAGGGAAUCUGUCGGACGCCUCCCUGGUGAAACAUCUUGCGAGAGUGACCUGCAUGCAGAGUAUUGUGGAGAAGUUUGUCAGCUCUGAACCGAGAUAUAUUCGAAAAAGCCCGAGAAAAGACACUUUCAAAGAAGACAAUCACACACUCUAUCCGAUUUCUACAGUGCCAACUGAAAGAAUCAUCCAAAGUUGUAGAGAAAGAUACAUUCCAACAAUACGAAGUAAUACUCGGA